rnacentral:rRNA from 1 species
GACGAACGCUGGCGGCGUGCUUAACACAUGCAAGUCGAACGAAGUGGCGAACGGGUGAGUAAUACGUGGGUAACCUGCCCUCCUUUUUGGGAUAAGCCUUGGAAACGGGGACUAAUACCGAAUAAAGGGGGAUGGGCCCGCGGCCUAUCAGCUUGUGGUUGGGGUGAUGGCAUACCAAGGAGGUGACGGGGAGCCGGCCUGAGAGGGUGCCCGGCCACAUUGGGACUGUUAUACUGCCCAGAUGCCUAGGGGAUGCAGCAGUGGGGGAUAUUUCACAAUGUGCGAAAGCCUGAUCCAGCCAUGCCGCGUGUGUGAAGAAGGUCUUCGGAUUGGAAAGCACUUUAAGUUGGGAGACGUUACCCGCAGAAGAAGCACCGGCUAACUCCGGUCCAGCAGCCGCGGUAAUUC